rnacentral:sRNA from 8 species
GUUCGGUGGAAACGAGAAUAAAACGUGAAGGAUAACGUUGCGUCAGCAACGACCCGUAGGGCGAGGCAAAGCCGAGUCAUCCUGCACGACCCACCA